UGAUAAUUAGUUUAAUAAAAAUAAAUGAUUUCGACUCAUUAGAUUGCAAGCCACAUUGCAAUUAUCAA
rnacentral:tRNA from 1 species